rnacentral:circRNA from 1 species
GCACUACUGCAGUCUUCAGUUAAGCAACAAGUAGAAGCUAUUGAAAAACAGUACAUUUCUGCAAUUGAGAAACAGGCACACAAGUGUGAGGAGUUGCUAAAUGCUCAGCAUCAGAGGCUCCUUGAAAUGCUAGAUACAGAGAAGGAACUGUUAAAAGAAAAAAUAAAGGAAGCUUUGAUUCAGCAAUCUCAAGAACAGAAGGAAAUAUUGGAAAAGUGUUUGGAGGAAGAAAGGCAAAGAAAUAAAGAGGCAUUAGUAUCCGCUGCAAAGCUUGAAAAAGAAGCAGUGAAGGAUGCAGUUUUAAAAGUCGUAGAAGAAGAAAGAAAAAAUUUAGAAAAAGCGCAUGCUGAAGAAAGGGAAUUAUGGAAGACAGAACAUGCAAAAGAUCAAGAAAAAGUAUCUCAGGAAAUUCAAAAAGCUAUACAAGAACAAAGAAAAAUAAGUCAGGAAACUGUUAAGGCAGCAAUAAUAGAAGAGCAGAAACGAAGUGAAAAGGCUGUGGAAGAGGCAGUGAAAAGAACAAGAGAUGAAUUGAUAGAGUAUAUAAAAGAACAGAAAAGG